rnacentral:rRNA from 1 species
GAUGAACGCUAGCUACAGGCUUAACACAUGCAAGUCGAGGGGUAACGAGAGGAAAGCUUGCUUUCCUUGUCGACGACCGGCGCACGGGUGAGUAACGCGUAUCCAACCUGCCCCCAACUAGGGAAUAACCUUGCGAAAGUAAGACUAAUACCCUAUAAUUUCCUCAGAUGUCAUCUGACGAGGAAUAAAGAUUUAUCGGUUGUGGAUGGGGAUGCGUCUGAUUAGCUUGUUGGCGGGGUAACGGCCCACCAAGGCAACGAUCAGUAGGGUUUCUGAGAGGAAGGACCCCCACAUUGGAACUGAGACACGGGCCAAACUCCUACGGGAGGCAGCAGUGAGGAAUAUUGGUCAAUGGGCGGAAGCCUGAACCAGCCAAGUAGCGUGCAGGAUGACGGCCCUAUGGGUUGUAAACUGCUUUUAUACAGGAAUAAAGUUAGCCACGUGUGGUUAUUUGUAGGUACUGUAUGAAUAAGGACCGGCUAAUUCCGUGCCAGCAGCCGCAGUAA